GACAGAGGCCUCAAGCGUUAGGCGGAAUCACUGGGCUUAAAGCGUGUGUAGGCGGGCCGUUAAGUGUCUUGUGAAAUCCCCCGGCUCAACCGGGGAAUUGCUGGGCAUACUGGCGGUCUUGAGCGAUCUAGGGGCAGAUGGAACAAGUGGUGGAGCGGUGAAAUGCGUAGAUAUCACUUGGAACGCCAAAGGUGAAGACAGUCUGCUGGGGAUCUGCUGACGCUGAGACACGAAAGCCAGGGGAGCGAACGGG
rnacentral:rRNA from 1 species